rnacentral:rRNA from 1 species
GACGAACGCUGGCGGCGUGCUUAACACAUGCAAGUCGAACGGAAAGGCCCUGCUUUUGUGGGGUGCUCGAGUGGCGAACGGGUGAGUAACACGUGAGUAACCUGCCCUUGACUUUGGGAUAACUUCAGGAAACUGGGGCUAAUACCGGAUAGGAGCUCCUGCUGCGUGGUGGGGGGUGGAAAGUUUCGGCGGUUGGGGAUGGACUCGCGGCUUAUCAGCUUGUUGGUGGGGUAGUGGCUUACCAAGGCUUUGACGGGUAGCCGGCCUGAGAGGGUGACCGGCCACAUUGGGACUGAGAUACGGCCCAGACUCCUACGGGAGGCAGCAGUGGGGAAUAUUGCACAAUGGGCGGAAGCCUGAUGCAGCAACGCCGCGUGCGGGAUGACGGCCUUCGGGUUGUAAACCGCUUUCGCCUGUGACGAAGCGCGAGUGACGGUAAUGGGUAAAGAAGCACCGGCUAACUACGUG